rnacentral:tRNA from 1 species
GUAGAUGUAGCUCAGUGGUAGAACACAUGCCUAGUGUGCACAAGGCCCUGGGUUCAACUCACAGCAUGGGGG